rnacentral:rRNA from 1 species
AGUGAACGCUGGCGGUAGGCUUAACACAUGCAAGUCGAACGGCAGCACAGUAAGAGCUUGCUCUUACGGGUGGCGAGCGGCGGACGGGUGAGGAAUACAUCGGAAUCUACUCUUUCGUCGCGGAUAACGUCGGGGAACGUACGCUAAUACCGCAUACGACCUACGUGUGAAAGCAGGGGAUCUUCGGACCUUGUGCGAUUGAAUGAGCCGAUGUCGGCUUAGUUAGUUGGCGGGGGAAAGGCACACCAAGGCGACGAUCCGUAGUUGGGCUGAGAUGAUGGGCAGCCCCACUAGACCUGAGACGCGGCCCAGACUCCUACGGGAGGCAGCAGAGGGGAAUGGUGGACUAUGGGAGCAAGCCAGGUCCAACCAAGCCGAGUAGGUGAAGGGAGCCUGCGGGUUGGGAAGCCCUUUUGUUUGGAAGGAGAGGCAGAGGGGUAAUCCCGCGCGUUUUUGACGGUACCCAAUGAAUAAGCACCGGCUAACUUCGUG